rnacentral:rRNA from 1 species
CCUACGGGUGACAGCAGUGAGGAAUAUUGGUCAAUGGGCGAGAGCCUGAACCAGCCAAGUAGCGUGAAGGAUGACUGCCCUACGGGUUGUAAAUUUCUUUUAUAAAGGAAUAAAGUGAGGCACGUGUGCCUUUUUGUAUGUACUUUAUGAACAAGGAUCGGCUAACUCCGUGCCAGCAUCCGCGGUAAUACGGAGGGGCCGAGCGUUAUCCGGAUUUAUUGGGGUUAAAGGGAGCGUAGAUGGGUUGUUAAGUCAGUUGUGAAAGGUUGCGGCUAAACCGUAAAAUUGCAAUUGAUACUGGCAGUCUUGAGUACAGGUGAGGUAGGCGGAAUGCGUGGUGUAGCGGUGAAAUGCUUAGAUAUCACGAAGAACUCCGAUUGCGAAGGCAGCUUACUAGACUGCCACUGACAUUGAUGCUCGAAAGUGUGGGUAUCAAACAGGAUUAGAUACCCUGGUAGUC